rnacentral:rRNA from 1 species
UAACAGAACGGUUUUGGGAAAGCCGGCCGGAGAGGGUGAAAGCCCCGUACGUGAAAGCUGAUGAGACUGAGCAGGAUCCAGAGUACCACGAGACACGUGGAACCUUGUGGGAAAUCAGGGGGACCACCCCCUAAGGCUAAAUACUACUUAGUGACCGAUAGCGCAUAGUACUGUGAAGGAAAGGUGAAAAGGACCCCGGGAGGGGAGUGAAAGAGAACCUGAAACCCUGUGUCUACAAGCUGUGGAAGCACUUUAUAUGUGCGACCGCGUACUUUUUGUAGAACGGUCCGGCGAGUUACGCUUACUGGCAAGGUUAAGCACUUCAGGUGUGGAGCCGUAGGGAAACCAAGUCUUAAGAGGGC